rnacentral:rRNA from 1 species
GAUGAACGCUGGCGGCGUGCCUAAUACAUGCGAGUCGAGCGAACAGACGAGGAGCUUGCUCCUCUGACGUUAGCGGCGGACGGGUGAGUAACACGUGGAUAACCUACCUAUAAGACUGGGAUAACUUCGGGAAACCGGAGCUAAUACCGGAUAAUAUAUUGAACCGCAUGGUUCAAUAGUGAAAGACGGUUUUGCUGUCACUUAUAGAUGGAUCCGCGCCGCAUUAGCUAGUUGGUAAGGUAACGGCUUACCAAGGCAACGAUGCGUAGCCGACCUGAGAGGGUGAUCGGCCACACUGGAACUGAGACACGGUCCAGACUCCUACGGGAGGCAGCAGUAGGGAAUCUUCCGCGAUGGGCGAAAGCCUGACGGAGCAACGCCGCGUGAGUGAUGAAGGUCUUCGGAUCGUAAAACUCUGUUAUUAGGGAAGAACAAAUGUGUAAGUAACUAUGCACGUCUUGACGGUACCUAAUCAGAAAGCCACGGCUAACUACGUG